AUUGAACGCUGGCGGCAGGCCUAACACAUGCAAGUCGAACGGUAACAGGAAACAGCUUGCUGUUUCGCUGACGAGUGGCGGACGGGUGAGUAAUGUCUGGGAAACUGCUGGUGGAGGGGGAUAACUACUGGAAACGGUAGCUAAUACCGCAUUACGUCGCAAGUUCAAAGAGGGGGACCUUCGGGCCCUUUGCCAACGGGUGGUGCCAGAUGGGGUUAGCUAGUAGGUGGGGUAAAGGCUGACCUAGGCCACGAUCCCUUGCUGGGCCGAGAGGAUGACCAGCCACACUGGAACUGAGACACGGUCCAGACGCCUACGGGAGGCAGCAGUGGGGAAUAUUGCACAAUGGGCGCAAGCCUGAUGCAGCCAUGCCGCGUGUAUGAAGAAGGCCUUCGGGUUGUAAAGUACUUUCAGCGGGGAGGAAGGGAGUAAAGUUAAUACCUUUGCUCAUUGACGUUACCCGCAGAAGAAGCACCGGCUAACUCCGUGCCAGCCGCCGCCGUAA
rnacentral:rRNA from 1 species